ACACAUGCAGUCGAGCGGUAACAGAUCCAGCUUGCUGGAUGCUGACGAGCGGCGGACGGGUGAGUAAUGCAUAGGAAUCUGCCCGAUAGUGGGGGAUAACCUGGGGAAACCCAGGCUAAUACCGCAUACGUCCUACGGGAGAAAGGGGGCUCCGGCUCCCGCUAUGGGAUGAGCCUAUGUCGGAUUAGCUAGUUGGUGAGGUAACGGCUCACCAAGGCCACGAUCCGUAGCUGGUCUGAGAGGAUGAUCAGCCACAUCGGGACUGAGACACGGCCCGAACUCCUACGGGAGGCAGCAGUGGGGAAUAUUGGACAAUGGGGGCAACCCUGAUCCAGCCAUGCCGCGUGUGUGAAGAAGGCCCUCGGGUUGUAAAGCACUUUCAGCGAGGAAGAACGCCUAGCGGUUAAUACCCGCUAGGAAAGACAUCACUCGCAGAAGAAGCACCGGCUAACUCCGUGCCAGCAGCCGCGGUAAUACGGAGGGUGCAAGCGUUAAUCGGAAUUACUGGGCGUAAAGCGCGCGUAGGUGGCUUGAUAAGCCGGUUGUGAAAGCCCCGGGCUCAACCUGGGAACGGCAUCCGGAACUGUCAAGCUAGAGUGCAGGAGAGGAAGGUAGAAUUCCCGGUGUAGCGGUGAAAUGCGUAGAGAUCGGGAGGAAUACCAGUGGCGAAGGCGGCCUUCUGGACUGACACUGACACUGAGGUGCGAAAGCGUGGGUAGCAAACAGGAUUAGAUACCCUGGUAGUCCACGCCGUAAACGAUGUCGACCAGCCGUUGGGUGCCUAGCGCACUUUGUGGCGA
rnacentral:rRNA from 1 species